rnacentral:rRNA from 1 species
UGCCAGCCGCCGCGGUAAUACGGAGGGUGCAAGCGUUGCUCGGAAUUACUGGGCGUAAAGAGCGUGUAGGCGGUUUCGUAUGUCUGGCGUGAAAGCCCCGGGCUCACCCUGGGAAGUGCGCUGGAAACUGCGAGACUAGAGUCCCGGAGAGGGAGGUGGAAUUCCAGGUGUAGCGGUGAAAUGCGUAGAUAUCUGGAAGAACACCGGUGGCGAAGGCGGCUUUCUGGACCGAUACUGACGCUGAGACGCGAAAGCGUGGGGAGCAAACAGGAUUAGAUA